GGGUGAUUAGCUCAGCUGGGAGAGCACCUCCCUUACAAGGAGGGGGUCGGCGGUUCGAUCCCGUCAUCACCCACCG
rnacentral:tRNA from 8 species